ensembl:lncRNA
GUGUGUGUGUGUGUGUGUUUGGCUGUCAGCCUGAAAGCUGCAUCUAGCGUGAUUCACAGGCUCUGACGUGUCACUACAUCGCUAGUGGCUUUGACCUUUGACCCGUGUGACCUGUCUGUACCCGCGCUGCACAUCUCGGCCUCUCGCCGCUGGACUCUUUAGAGGACUCAGUAGACUGCCAUCAGGCAGCUCCGUCUCUCUCUGCUUCUUCUUUUCUCUCUCUCUCUUCCUCCUGCUUCCUCUGCUGGGCUGUGAGACCCCGAAGCAGCUUGUUAGUGGUGGGCCAAGUAUUGAUCUGGCAGGUCUGUCGAUGCGGGGAGAUUGAGCCGAGCUCCACUAGAGACUCUCCACCAGCAGGCUGCUAUUGACACACUGCACACACACACAAACAGAGCAGCGGCCCGCAGGAGACUCUUCACAGGCAAGAUGCUAUCGACGUUUUCUCGACUCGGCCGACACAACUGCUCACUGUAUGACAAGGCUGAGACCGGCCCGAGUCCCCAGAGAGCUGCGCUGACACGACACGGUGACCCGCGCGUUAGUUUUUCUUUACUUUCAGCGCGCUCAUCCAGGUUUUUCCCACCCUAACGCGCUCCACGGGGAGGCUGGCUCUUCCUCUGACUAGUGAUCAAGCCAGUUUAUUGGCAGGCCUGUGGCGACAUCGCUGCGCAUCGAUGCUAUGUUGUGUCUCGCACGUUUCAUCACAAGUGUCCAGUAUGUGUGAUGUGACGCGAGCAGUGGAAUGGGAGAAAGCACAAGAACUUCUUUGAAUGUUUUUAUGUAAAGCACAUGUUUACAUAAAAACAAUAAAAAACUAUGGAAAAGCAGAAAGCUGUACAGAACUACUGCUGUAUGAUUCUGACGGGCUGGAAGCUGCUGCUGUUUUAUUUGUAUUUACAAAACAUUUUUAGUUAAAAAUAGUCUACUGUUGCUAUACUCCUAGUCAUUUUCAGUUUGAUUUGCCUUUACUUUUGAGAAUUUUUUUAAAUAUAAUUUCUGAACAAACAGGAUAUGUUUAAGACAGGUUUGUACAAUAUGUGUUGGUACAAUUUCAUGCAUAUGUUCUGCUUUUAACAAGUACAUUUCUUCAACCUGAACUUUCUUAGAUUGUUAAUAUAGAAAAUGUUACUUGAAUCAUGUUGUUGUUACAUUUUUAAAGUUGAUUAAAAAAAAAUAGAAUCCUGUGAGAUGAAUUUAUU